GAUGAACGCUGGCGGCGUGCCUAAUACAUGCAAGUCGAGCGAACAGACGAGGAGCUUGCUCCUCUCACGUUAGCGGCGGACGUGUGAGUAACGCGUGGAUCACCUACCUGUCAGACUGGGAUAACUUCGGGAAACCGGCGCUAAUACCGGAGAAUAUCUUGAACCGCAUGGUGGAAUGGUGAAAGACGGUUUUGCUGGAGGUUAUAGAUGGAUCCGCGCCGUAUUAGCUUGUUGGUGGGGUAGCGGCUUACCAAGGCUAUGACGGGUAGCCGGCCUGAGAGGGUGACCGGCCACAUUGGGACUGAGAUACGGCCCAGACUCCUACGGGAGGCAGCAGUGGGGAAUAUUGCACAAUGGGCGGAAGCCUGAUGCAGCAACGCCGCGUGCGGGAUGACGGCCUUCGGGUUGUAAACCGCUUUCGCCUGUGACGAAGCGUGAGUGACGGUAAUGGGUAAAGAAGCACCGGCUAACUACGUG
rnacentral:rRNA from 1 species